rnacentral:rRNA from 1 species
AUUGAACGCUGGCGGCAGGCUUAACACAUGCAAGUCGAGCGAGCGGCGGACGGGUGAGUAAUGUCUGGGAAACUGCCUGAUGGAGGGGGCUAACUACUGGAAAAGGUAGCUAAUACCGCAUACACUCAGAUGUGGCAAGAUGGGAGUAUCUAGUAGGUGGGGUAAUGGCUCACCUAGGCGACGAUCCCUAGCUGGUCUGAGAGGAUGACCAGCCACACUGGAACUGAGACACGGUCCAGACGCCUACUGGAGUCAGAAGUGGGGAAUAUUGCACAAUCGGCGCAAGCCUGAUGCAGCCAUGCCGCGUGUGUGAAGAAGGCCUUCGGGUUGUAAAGCACUUUCAGCGAGGAGGCGUUACUCGCAGAAGAAGCACCGGCUAACUCCGUGCCAGCAGCCGCGGUAAUAC